rnacentral:rRNA from 1 species
GAUGAACGCUAGCUACAGGCUUAACACAUGCAAGUCGAGGGGCAGCAUGAACUUAGCUUGCUAAGCUUGAUGGCGACCGGCGCACGGGUGAGUAACACGUAUCCAACCUGCCGAUGACUCGGGGAUAGCCUUUCGAAAGAAAGAUUAAUACCCGAUGGCAUAGUUCUUCCGCAUGGUAGAACUAUUAAAGAAUUUCGGUCAUCGAUGGGGAUGCGUUCCAUUAGGUUGUUGGCGGGGUAACGGCCCACCAAGCCUUCGAUGGAUAGGGGUUCUGAGAGGAAGGUCCCCCACAUUGGAACUGAGACACGGUCCAAACUCCUACGGGAGGCAGCAGUGAGGAAUAUUGGUCAAUGGACGAGAGUCUGAACCAGCCAAGUAGCGUGAAGGAUGACUGCCCUAUGGGUUGUAAACUUCUUUUAUACGGGAAUAAAGUGAGGCACGUGUGCCUUUUUGUAUGUACCGUAUGAAUAAGGAUCGGCUAACUCCGUG